rnacentral:lncRNA from 1 species
GAAAAUCACUGCCAAUAUUUAGGUGAAUGUUAGCCACGCGUUAAGACAUAUGUUUUUCUUUUUUUUUCAAUAGCACAUUACGAUAGCAUUAUUUUAAAAACUGUUAUGAAAAAUCAAUUUCUAAUCUUUGAAAUCUUAACCCUAAACAUGUUUUAAACCCUAAACUCUAAAAGUAAACCUUGAAACUCUUAUCACCCUAAACUCUAAAAGUAAACCUUAAAACUCUUAUCUUUUGAUACCAUAACCCGAAAUUAUAAACUUACACUCAAAACUAUUCCUUUUAAUCUUAGUCUUUAACUUCCAAAACACAAACCUUAAAUCUUUAGUCAAACUCUAUACCCUAAGCUCUAUACAUAAACCCUAUACAUAAACCUUAUAAUCCAAAUUAUAAAUAUAAACACUAACAUAUUGUAUUCAACACCCCCAUACUGUUCAUAUUUUAGUUCCAAAUUUUAAAAAAGUUCAAAAUUUAGUUAUUUUCAAAUUUUAAUCUCAAAAUCUUAAAACCAACCCUUAACAUCACACUUCAAACCCUAAAACCUACAUCCAAAUCAUAAUCUAAAUAUUAAUCUAAUAUUUUAAAACUU